rnacentral:rRNA from 1 species
GUACACGCUGUGACUAGCAUAUCAAUAAGCGGAGGAAAAGAAACUAACAAGGAUUCCCCCUAGUAACGGCGAGUGAAGCGGGAAGAGCUCAAAUUUGAAAUCUUAAAGGGUUUCCCUUUACGAAUUGUAGUUUAAAGAAGUGUUUUCUGUUGAGGUUUUGGUAAAAGUUCUUUGGAAUAGGACAUCAUAGAGGGUGAGAAUCCCGUAUUUGACCUUUACUUUCAACCUUGUGAUACACUUUCAAAGAGUCGGAUUGUUUGGGAAUGCAGUCCAAAAUGGGUGGUAAAUUUCAUCUAAAGCUAAAUAUUGGCGAGAGACCGAUAGCGAACAAGUACCGUGAGGGAAAGAUGAAAAGAACUUUGAAAAGGAGAGUUAAACAGUACGUGAAAUUGUCAAAAGGGAAGCGUUUGACACCAGUGUUGUUUUUCUGAAAAUCAAUUAAAGAACUGUUUAUGCUAAGCUGUUUAGACUUUAUCAGCUAACUGUUUAGUUUUGAGCUUUUCUUUAAUGCACUUUUCAGUUAACAAGUCAACAUCGAUUUCUUUUGCUGUAAAAAAGCUUGAGGAAGGUGGCUUGAGAUUCGUCUUAAGUGUUUAUAGCCUCUUGCCUAUGCAGUCGGAGAGAUUGAGGUCUGCAGCGUAGAUCCUUCGGGGCUAAAUGCAUUUGUGCUAAGUCAUAGCAUUUUAUAGACAACUUGUUGACUAUGAUUUGUCUUGUAGCUUACUCGCUUAUGUUAUUUUACCUACGCUUAGGAUGUUGAGUCGUAGAGCACGCAG